UUUUUUUUUUUUUUUUUUUUUUUUGUCUUUUUGUUAUUUCUUUGGGCCGUUCCUGCGGCAUAUGGAGGUUCCCAGGCUAGGGGUCGAAUCGGAGCUGUAGCCACUGGCCUACGCCAGAGCCACAGCAACGCGGGAUCCGAGCCGCGUCUGCAACCUACACCACAGCUCACGGCAACGCCGGAUUGUUAACCCACUGAGCAAGGGCAGGGACCGAACCCGCAACCUCAUGGUUCCUAGUCGGAUUCGUUAACCACUGCGCCAUGACGGGAACUCCCCAGUCCACUGAUUCAAAUUCCAAUCUCUUCUGGAAGCACCCUGAGAGAUGUACCCAGACAUAAUGUUUUACCUGAUGGACAGCCCUUAGCCCAGUCAAGUUGACACAUAAAACUAACCAUCACAAUAUGUAAUGUAUUAAAUUAUUUUAAUUAUCCAAACAAUAAGAUUGAUGUAGAAAAAUUAGAAAACACAGAUAAUAAAAAAGAAAAGUUUGAAUAACCCCCAAAUCCAGGGUCAACUACUGGAUACGCCCGCCCUGAUUAAAAAAAUACAUAUGUCUCCUUCCUAGAGUUCAACUGUAUUUAUUCUUCUCUAACUUGAUUUUCCUUCUGGAAAAUAGAUUAUAAAUGUCCUUACAUCAACGCUCAUAUAUCAACAUAAUUAUAUUUAAUGGCCACAUAGUAUCACAAGGUAAAGAUUACAAAAAUUUAUUUAACCAGACAUUUCCACUUUGGGACUUUGAUAAAUCAAGGAAUGAUAAACAAAUGUGUAUAUACAUCUUUGUGCACUUAAUUAAGAUUUCCUUAGGAUAAGUACUUAGAAGUGAGGUUGCCAGACCAACAUCAUAAUGAAAGCCAGCACUAUAUGCCAGGCACUGGUCCAAGUUUCUUAGGAAUAGUCACAAUUGAACCUCACAGCAACUCUUUGAGGUGGUGCCACUAUUACAGUCAUUUUAGGACUAGAAGCCAAGACCCAAAGCAGUUAAGAGACCUGCUUUGAGCCCUGUGUCCAGUAAGUGAUAUGACUGGAUCCGACCUGGUGGGUUGGCCCUGGAUCCCUGCCUCCUCACCAGGAUUUUUAAGUAAAUGCUGCCCAGAAAACAUAAGCCACUUGAGUCGAAUGUUUGGGAUGCUCAUUUUCACUUUCCCUUGCCACCAGGGGGUAUUGUUCAUCUUUAAAUGUUUGGACAACAUGCUAGAUGAAAAAUGAAACCUCACCUUUUAAAAUAUUUACAUUUUUUAGUUUUCUUCUAAGGCAAAUUUUUUUUUCAUUUUCAUAUAGAUUAUUUUUAUUUCUUCUUUUAUAGAUUGCCUGAUCAUAUUCUUAGUCCUUUUCUUUGGUCAGUUGAUGUAAUUAACUGGUUCUUGUUGCUUUUUUCUUUAUCUUUUUUUUUAAUUUAAUCUUUGUAUUUUAUUGCUUUUGCUUCAAGUUAAGAAUGUUGCAGAGAAAGACAAAUCUCACACAAUAUCACUUACAUGUGGACUCUACAAAAAUGAUACAAAUGAACUUAUUAUUCUUUAUCUUUUUAUUAGGGAAAUUUUCCAGUACAUAUAAAAACAGACUGUAUAAUGGCCUUGAUGUCCUCAUCUUUUGGCUUUAACAAUCAUCAACACGUGACAACUCUUAUUUCCUGUAAACCUCAUGCCAAUCUCAUCCCGAAUAAUCAUACCAUUAUAUCUACAAAUAUUCCCGUAUGUAUCUCUAAAAUAUACUUCCUUCUUAAAACAACCAAGCUGCCACCACCACACUAAAACAAAAAUUAGUCAUGCCUUCUAAACUUUGUCCAUUGUCUAUUGCGUUCACAUUUCCUCUCUUUUCCUAUACAUGUUUAAGUCUCUUUUAACCCACAGAUUGCUCUUCCACUUUCCCUUUCCUUCCUUCCCUUCCUCCUGCCUUUUCUCCAUCACAAUCUUUAUUACUUUUUUGUGGCUAAAGAACUUUGGUUAUUUGCCUUGGAGAACUCUCCCUGGUCUGGCUUUUGCCAACUCCAUUACUGUGAUGGUGUUUAAUGCAUCCUUCUUUCCCCUGAACUAUCUGUAAAUUUGUAUUUAGAUCUAAAUACUUGAUCAGGUUCAACUUUUUUGAUUUUUUGCUCCUUUUUUUUUUUUAAUGAGAUACUUUAUUUAUUUAUCUAUCUUUUUAGGGCUGCACCCGCAGCAUAUGGAAGUUCCCAGGUUAGGGGUCGAAUCAGAGCUACAGCUUCCGGCCUAUGCCACAGCCACAGCAACACAGGAUCAGAGCCGUGUCUUCAACCUACACCAGAGCUCAUGGCAGGCAAUGCUGGAUCCCCGACCCAAUGAACUAGGCCUGGGGUCAAACCCGCAUCCUCAUGGAUACUAGUUGGAUUCGUUUCUGCUGAGUCACAAGGGGAACUCCCAAUGAGACACUUCUUAGGUGGCACUGUGCACUCCCAGCAGGAGGCUCAUAACACCUGCUUCCCUCUUUUUAUGGUGUUGAUCACAGCAUUGACGAUAUGUUGAGGAUCAUUGCCUACAUCCAUCUAUCGAUUAGAGAUUUCCAAAAUUGUGACAUUCUAUCAUUCCUUUGCCAUUUAUUUGCUAGCUGGAAAAAUUCUGGAAGGAGAAAUUUCCCAAAUAGAACUGUCUGGUUGCCUUAAGGUUCAGUUUAUAUUGGUGAGAAAGCUAAGGGUUUCUUUCCUCUUUCAAAAUAAUGAGAUGGUUUCCUACUAUCCUCCAUGGCUACCAUAUGAAUUCAGACAUUUAAAUAUAUUUGAUUUGUUGAAGUUGAUUGUACUUGUUAUCCUUACCAAGGUGAAAUUGUCUUGGCUUUGGCCAAUAGGUGCCUCUUCAAGUUGGAUUCCGGGUCCUUUUGAAUGACCUUAGGAGUCUGAUAGUUCCUUUUUAUCUGGUAGGAAAGACGAUCCAGGCUCAUAGCACACAUUUCCUGCCUCAGACCUGAAAUUAGUAACUUCUCUGGGGGAAUCCUGGUUUCUUUUGGAGGAAAAUGAUACUUAUAGACACAAUCUGGGUGCAAAGGUAUCCUUAUUACUGCUGGUGUUGUCCUUACUUCUGAGCCCUUUAAAUGGGUAGAGAUGGGAAAUACAAGUAUAAAAUGUAAAUUCAUACUGAUAUUGCCCAUUCAAAUUCAGGACUAUAGGAUUUUUACUUUAUUGCAUUGAUCUAACAUUUAUUUUUAAUCUCUCUUCUUCUACACCAAGAGCCUUGGCUCUUAAUAUCACAAUCAGUCUUGGAAUAGAAAUGCUAACUUUAUUGUUCACAAUAUAAAUAUUAAAAACAGUUUAAAAUUUAUUAGUCUCCCCCCCCCCCUUUGGGAGUUUCUGCUCCUUAGGGAAUAGACUACUAAGGAUGCCCAGUUAAAUCACUAUGUUUCAGGAGGCUAUGAUGUAGGUCGCAGAUGUGGCUUGGAUCCUGUGUUGCUGUGGCUGUGGUGUAGGCCAGCCGCUACAGCUCUGAUUCAACCUAGCCUGGGAACUUCCAUAUGCUGUGGGUACGGCCCUAAAAAGACAAAAAAACUAAAAAAAAACCCAUUGUAUUUUAAAAUUUAAUUUCUCUUUGUGGUUUUGCUGCUGAAUGCAUGUGUAAUUAGUUUUGCUUCUUUGUUUUGAUUUUUAGGGAUUGCACUUUUAUUAUUUAAUUUUCUUCAUGUUGCUUUUAUAUAUUCAUAUUGCUUAUAUAUAAAUACAAAAUGUUGAAAUAUAUCAAAAUUAUAUGUAUUACAUGUAAUAUGACAUAUAUUUAAAAUAUUAAUCUAUUGUCAUAUGUGCUACUCUUUGUCUUUAAAAUUUUUUAUUAAACUAUAGUUGAUUUACAAUGUUGUGUUAGUUCCAAGUGUAUGACAAAAUAGUUCAUAUAUAUGUAUCAUAUAUAUUUUUUCUUAGAUUUUUAAAAAGAUUUAUUCUUUUUUAGAUUCUUUUCCAUUAUAGGUUAAUACAAGAUUUUGAGGAUAAUUCCCCUGCUAUUUAUUAGGUCUUUGUUGGUUAUCUACUUUUUGUUUUUUAAUUUUGUUCAUGGGUCUCUUCCUAUAGAGAGAUUCUAAGUUUUUAUAUGUAUAACUGAUGUUUUCCUUUCUAAUUUCUGUCUUCGGAGUCAGAUUUAGAAAGGCUUUCUUCAUUCCAAUAUUCAUACAUGUUCAUCUAUAUUUUCUUUCACUUCUGUUAAAAGGUUUAAAAUUUGGGUGCUUAAUACACCUGGACUUUUUGGGGCGAAGGUGUUAGCUGCGAAUUAGGGAUGUUAUUUAUUUUUUCCGAAACAGCCAGUUGUCUCCCUGAUAUUAUUUGACAAUUUAUCCUUUCUUCAAAAUAUCCCCUUUAUCAAAUGUAAAUUGUUAUAUGUGCUUGUGUCUGUUUCUGGACUUUUAAUUUAUUAAUUCAUUAAUCUGAUGGUCCUGGCACAAGUAUCUCAGUAUUCUUAAUCAUUAAAAUUUAUCAUCUUGCAGGAAACUAAUACCCUAAUUAUUUUUAUCUUUCAGAGUUUUACCCCGGAUAUUUUUCAAAGUUGAAAUGAUAUCAGAUUCUUAUGAAGGCAUACAGAUCCCCAUCCAUGAAUGAACAAAUAAACAUGGACGGCUCUGGCAUGUGCCUUUGUGCAUCCUAAUUACAACUCUUAUUUGAAGUUGGGUAUUGGCAAAGCUCUAUUUUGGACCUUAAUUGGGUGUCUUUUGACUACUUCUAAAGAGUGUUCCAGAGUUUCUGUUGUGGUUCAGUGGAAACCAACCUGACUUGUAUCCAUGAGGAAGCAGGUUUGAUCCCUAGCCUCACUCAGUGGGUUGAGGAUCUGGAGUUGCCGUGGCUGUGGUGUAGGCUGGUGGCUGCAGCUCCAAUCGACCCCUAUCCUGGGAACAUCCAUAUGACACGGGUUCGACCGUAAAAAAGACAAUCAAUCAAUCAAUCAAUAGAGCAUCCCAUUUCUCACAAUCCUUCCUGUUCAGGAUUCCCAUUGGGCUGGCUCUUCGUAGGGUGGAGGGUGCCAUCCCUGGCAGUUCCGAGUGGCAGUGUGCUGUAAGCUCAAUUAACAAAAAAUUUUGCAAGUGAUUCAAGGAUAACAACUUUUAUUUUGCCAAUAAGAACAUAACAGAAAGAAAGUAUGCAACAGUUAACACCUGCUAGCACUAUUAUUUUAUAAAAGACCUUUUAAUACCAGAAGAAUAAGAUUGAGUUAAUCUUAGAAGACAGAACUUCCCAAGAAUAGGCCCCUCACAAUGAUACACACCCUUCCUUUCCCUCGUUUCACUUUGAAAUGAAGUGAACAAAUGAAGACUUGUUUAUGGGUCAGCUCUGGCCCCCAGCCUGGCACUUGGGAGCCACUGCAGUGGUUUGUGUCAACGGACCGUAUAGUCCACGAUUGCAUAAUUCAAUAUGAAAAAAAGAAAAUGAUGUUAGAGUUCUCUGGUAGCUCAGUGGGUUAAGGAUCGGUGAUGUCGCUGCUGUGGCUCUGGUUACUGCUGUGAUGAGGGUACUUCUGUGUGCUGCUGGCAUGGCCAAGAAAGGCAAGAAAAAAGAAAAUGAUGUGAAUUGUAUCUUCUGAGAUAACUUAAUGAACUUAACUUAUGGGAGGACAAAGAUUGGAAGUUUGCAUAGGUUUAUGGAUAGACCUGAAACUUUUUUUAAUCCCUUAAAAAUCUGAACCCAUAAUUUGGAAGUAGAAGAUGCCUUGGUCUCAGGGCUGGAAUCUGAUAGUGAUGUGAAACUGAGAUACUCAUUAAGACUAUGUUCAGUUUUGGAAAAUCUGAAGUUGAUUUACACACUGUAAUCAACUCUAAGUUUAUAGGGAAUUGAAGUAAAGCAAACUCUAAAGU
rnacentral:lncRNA from 1 species